GAUGAACGCUGGCGGCGUGCCUAAUACAUGCAAGUCGAGCGAACAGAUAAGGAGCUUGCUCCUUUGACGUUAGCGGCGGACGGGUGAGUAACACGUGGGUAACCUACCUAUAAGACUGGGAUAACUUCGGGAAACCGGAGCUAAUACCGGAUAAUAUUUCGAACCGCAUUGUUCGAUAGUGAAAGAUGGUUUUGCUAUCACUUAUAGAUGGACCCGCGCCGUAUUAGCUAGUUGGUAAGGUAACGGCUUAGCAAGGCGACGAUACGUAGCCGACCUGAGAGGGAGAUCGGCCACACUGGAACUGAGACACGGUCCACACUCCUACGGGAGGCAGCAGUCGGGAAUCUUCCGCGAUGGACGAAAGCCUGACAGAGCAACGCCGCGUGAGUGCUGAAGGUCUUCGGCUCGUAAAACUCUGUUAUUAGGGAAGAACAUACGUGUAAGUAACUGUGCACAUCUUGACGGUACCUAAUCAGAAAGCCACGGCUAACUACGUG
rnacentral:rRNA from 1 species